rnacentral:rRNA from 1 species
CCUACGGGAGGCAGCAGUAGGGAAUCUUCCACAAUGGACGAAAGUCUGAUGGAGCAACGCCGCGUGCGUGAAGAAGGGUUUCGGCUCGUAAAGCUCUGUUGGUAGUGAAGUAAGAUAGAGGUAGUAACUGGCCUUUAUUUGACGGUAAUUACUUAGAAAGUCACGGCUAACUACGUGCCAGCAGCCGCGGUAAUACGUAGGUGGCAAGCGUUGUCCGGAUUUAUUUGGCGUAAAGCGAGUGCAGGCGGUUCAAUAAGUCUGAUGUGAAAGCCCUCGGCUCAACCGGAGAAUUGCAUCAGAAACUGUUGAACUAGAGUGCAGAAGAGGAGAGUGGAAUGCCAUGUGUAGCGGUGGAAUGCGUAGAUAUAUGGAAGAACACCAGUGGCGAAGGCGGCUAUCUGGUCUGCAACUGACGCUGAGGCUCGAAAGCAUGGGUAGCGAACAGGAUUAGAUACCCUAGUAGUC